GUUUGUUAAAAUAUUGCAAAUAGAGGCCAAACAGUACAUGAGCUACUGUAUUGCAAAUUUCAACUCAUUGAUCAUAAAUUCAAUUUCAGUUCAUUUUAAUGAACAAUUUUAAACUCUAAGCUCAGCAGGGAAUAUUGUGAGCCAUUCGAGAUCAGUUUUAAAAAUAAAUAUUUUUAAGAAGUAUUACGGAAAAUAAUUAUUUUAUAUUUUAUAGAAAUAAUUAUACAAGAAACAGAUUAUAUUGGAAAUAAAUUUUGAACAUUAUAAGAUCACUAUUAAUGCACAUUAUUUAGAUAAAAAAAAUGUCAUUAUUAAAAAAAGUAAUGCCAAAAUUAUUUAAUUUCUGUUAGCCUGUUAAGC
rnacentral:misc_RNA from 1 species